GCCCGUUUAGCUCAUCGGUAGAGCGCAUCACUAGUACCAAUUAGCGAUGAUGAGGUGACUGGUUCGAUUCCAGUAAUGGGCA
rnacentral:tRNA from 1 species